GGCGUUAUGUAGUUUUGAUUCCUUGGCUUCAGGAUGAACGCCGGCGGCGUGCCUAUACAUGCAAGUCGAGCGAACUGAUUAGAAAGCUUGCUUUCUAUGACGUUAGCGGCGGACGGGUGAGUAACACGUGGGCAACCUGCCUGUAAGACUGGGAUAACUUCGGGAAACCGAAGCUAAUACCCGGAUAGGAUCUUCUCCUUCAUGGGAGAUGAUUGAAAGAUGGUUUCGGCUAUCACUUACAGAUGGGCCCGCGGUGCAUUAGCUAGUUGGUGAGGUAACGGCUCACCAAGGCAACGAUGCAUAGCCGACCUGAGAGGGUGAUCGGCCACACUGGGACUGAGACACGGCCCAGACUCCUACGGGAGGCAGCAGUAGGGAAUCUUCCGCAAUGGACGAAAGUCUGACGGAGCAACGCCGCGUGAGUGAUGAAGGCUUUCGGGUCGUAAAACUCUGUUGUUAGGGAAGAACAAGUACGAGAGUAACUGCUCGUACCUUGACGGUACCUAACCAGAAAGCCACGGCUAACUACGUGCCAGCAGCCGCGGUAAUACGUAGGUGGCAAGCGUUAUCCGGAAUUAUUGGGCGUAAAGCGCGCGCAGGCGGUUUCUUAAGUCUGAUGUGAAAGCCCACGGCUCAACCGUGGAGGGUCAUUGGAAACUGGGGAACUUGAGUGCAGAAGAGAAAAGCGGAAUUCCACGUGUAGCGGUGAAAUGCGUAGAGAUGUGGAGGAACACCAGUGGCGAAGGCGGCUUUUUGGUCUGUAACUGACGCUGAGGCGCGAAAGCGUGGGGAGCAAACAGGAUUAGAUACCCUGGUAGUCCACGCCGUAAACGAUGAGUGCUAAGUGUUAGAGGGUUUCCGCCCUUUAGUGCUGCAGCUAACGCAUUAAGCACUCCCGGGCCG
rnacentral:rRNA from 1 species